GGAACAUGGCGUCCGCUACUCGCAUCAUCCAGAAGCUGCGGAACUGGGCGUCUGGGCAAGACCUGCAGGCGAAGCUGCAGUUGCGCUACCAGGAGAUCGCCAAGCGGUGAGCAGGCCCUGCUUGCUGCCAGCCCCACCAUGUCCUUCCACCACACCUAAAUCUGAGGCUGGUCGUGGUGGUACAACCUUUAAGCUCAGCACUCAGGAGACAGAGGCAGUCUGAUUGCUGUGAAUUCAAGGCCUCUUGAUUUAUGUGGACCCAGCCUCCUCCUAAGCUGCCUGUGGGCCCCAGUCACAAGCUGUCUAACAAUUACUACUGCACUCGUGAUGGCCGGCGGGAAGUUGUGCCUCCCUCAGUCAUCAUGUCUUCACUGAAGGCUCUGGUGUCGGGCAAAACAGCUGAGAGCUGUGGCAGCCACUGAGAAGAAGGCAGUGACGCCUGCUCCUCCAAUGAAGAGGUGGGAGCUGUCCAAGGACCAGCCGUACCUGUGACACUGCCCAAGGCUACUUUGGUCCCCCAGGACCAUCCGACUGCUUUUCCGCCUUGGAUUUCCUCUGGAAAGAGUGUGACCUAAUUUAUAACAAAUACAGAGCUCGCAUUAUUUCCAUUCUGUCUUUUCUUAGUAUUUAUUGAUUUGAUCUGUUAUUACUGUCUGUGGAGGGUGUGAAUACAUGCUGCAGCCUGUAUGGAGGUGGGAGGACAACUUUGGGAAUUGGUUUUCUUCUGCUUUGUUGCAUCAGGGUUUUGUUUUUAUUAUGCUGUGUUAUUCAGGCUAGUUGGCCGCAGAGUUUCUGGGCAGUGCUGCUGUCUGUUCCUCCCACCCUGCUGUAGGAGUGAUGGGAUUAUAGACUUGAGCUACUGCAUGUCGUUUUUGGGUUCUGGGGAUGGAACUCAGGUGUCAGCCUUUUUUUUUUUUUUUUUUGGUUUUUCGAGACAGGGUUUCUCUGUGGUUUUGGAGCCUAUCCUGGAACUAGCUCUUGUAGACCAGGCUGGUCUCGAACUCACAGAGAUCCGCCUGCCUCUGCCUCCCGAGUGCUGGGAUUAAAGGCGUGCGCCACCACCGCCCGGCAGGUGUCAGCCUUUUGAAGCGAGCACUUUUACCUGUGAGCCAUCCUGGCAGCCUACCUUUUUAAGAUGAGGUCUUAGUGGGUAUUGUUGGUCUAUGCCUAUAAUCUUUGUACUCAGUAAGCUAGUAGAUGAAUAUCACUGUUGUCCUGUGGAAUGA